rnacentral:tRNA from 1 species
AGGAAGCACAGUAUGAAGCGUACGUAAAAUUGCAAGUUUUAAAGUUUAGCUUCUUA